GGCCCCCUGCUAUUGAGCAGCCUGACCGCUCGGUGCAUCUGCCUUCUCAUUCUCGGUUCGUCUGCGUACCGUAUCCAGUGUUGCUUGUGUGUGCUACCCGGGUUUGGGGUAAAUCGUCGCAUCAGAUGAGUUGAUUUUUCGGCUUUGCCCGGCAUUCUUGUCCGGCUGUCGCCUCACGUCGUGGUUCGGCGCAAUCUUGUGGCGAUUGAUCAUUAUGCGGUUGACAUGAGGCUUUUGCGCCGACACGUAUUGGUUCCUUGGGUGCGGUUGAACAUGUGGUCAUAGGGGUCUCCUCGAGGCGCCUUUGUCCCUGACCCAAUGUGGUCGCCGGUUGGUUCGGAGGUCCCUCGGCGAGGCGAUGGGCUUCGGCUCUAUUGUCUCCGCCGACACCGUCGCUGUGCUACCUGGUUGAUCCUGCCAGUAGUCAUAUGCUUGUCUCAAAGAUUAAGCCAUGCAUGUGCAUGUAUGAACAAAUUCGGACUGUGAA
rnacentral:misc_RNA from 1 species